UACGUAGGGGGCAAGCGUUAUCCGGAUUUACUGGGUGUAAAGGGAGCGUAGACGGCUGUGCAAGUCUGAAGUGAAAGGCAUGGGCUCAACCUGUGGACCGCUUUGGAAACUGUGCAGCUAGAGUGUCGGAGAGGUAAGUGGAAUUCCUAGUGUAGCGGUGAAAUGCGUAGAUAUUAGGAGGAACACCAGUGGCGAAGGCGGCUUACUGGACGAUGACUGACGUUGAGGCUCGAAAGCGUGGGGAGCAAACAGG
rnacentral:rRNA from 1 species